CUGUGGGAAGAAGUUAGCCAUGCCUCUUCCUCCCAGAGGCUCCUCCCACAGAAGCUCUUCAGGGCAUGUAGCCCUGAGUUGCUGGCCAGGGCAGGCUUUUAUACCUCAGUCUCAGGAGCUUUUGGGGAGAGAAUGGCCAAGAUCUUUCCUGCCUCUAGCUGCUGCAAGCUUGUUCUUGGACCUUUUGUGGCUGCCUUACUGUAUCUGGUCCUACUUUGUUUUCCUGCCUGCUGCCCUGCUACUGAGUGCCUAGCUAGAGGGCUGAGGGGCUCCUGGACUGAUCUGCAACAAACAAAGCCCCUCCACAGCUCCAGCCAUCUUUUACAUCUGCCUCAGCAGCUUUUCCUGUAUGUUUUGCCCUUGUGUGCUACACUCGGAGGCACACCCAGCAGAGGGAGGCAGUCAAGAAGCAGCUUGAGUGGGAAGUGCUAGAGCUGGAGAGGCACCUGGCCACUGAUCCAACUAACCCGUCUCUCUGCAGAAAGCGUCAGGAGAGGCAGGAAGAGCUUCAUGCUCUGGAUGACCACCACACCUGCAGUGCAUUUGUCUGCUUACGUGUCCAACUCCUUCGGGAGAUGGAUCAUGGCUCCCACUUCUUCUAUGCCCUGGAGAGGAGGCAGAGGGCCAAGAAGUACAUCACCUGCCUUCCAGCGGGUGACAGAACCCUGCCUUACAGAUCCAGGUGAGAUGUGCUGGUGUGUGUGGGCCUUCUAUUAAGAGCUCUUUUUCCCUGGAUCCAACAAACACUGAAGCCUGUCAGACCCUGUGGGAGGCAAGCACAGGUAACUAGGACCAGCUGGAGGCUCCUCUUACUCUGACUUUUUGGCCACCCUCCAUCUGAUGCCUGGCAACAAGGUGCUGGGCAUCAAUGGGCUGACCGCAGAAUUCUACUGGGCUUCCUGGGAUGUCUUUAGCCCAGACUUUGCUGCAGUCUGGGCUGAAUCCGAGGGAAGUGGGGAAUUUUCCCUGUCAUGCCAGAGGACCAUGCUGACCCUCCUGCUGAAGAAGGGGGAUCCCCAUGACUUGAGGAACUGGUGCCCUAUGUCCCUCCUUUGCAUGGAUUACAAGGUGGCAGUGAAGGCCAUCUCGCUGCACGUGCAGUUUGUGCUGAUGGAACAUCCGGGCACCUUUAUACACCUGGUCGGGAUGCAUCAUGUCCAUCUUUGAGAACCUGUACCUGGUUUGGGACCUCCUGGACCUAGUGCACUGGGAGGCCCUGUCUUUCACCCUCCUAUCCCUGGACCAGGAUAAGGCAUUUGACAGAGUGGAUCGCAGGUACCUCAUGGUAUGCUGCGGACCUUUGGCUUCGGCCCUCACUUCGUGUGGGCUUUCCAGGUGGUAUAUGCCUCUGCAGAGUGUUUGGUCAAGCUCAACUGGACCCUGAUAGAGCCCAUCCUGUUCAGGAGAGGGGUGCAUCAAGGCUGCCUGCUGUCGGGCCAGCUGUAUGCCUUGGCCCCAGAGCCCUUCCUCAUUCUCCUGCAGAGGCACGUGGUGGGGUUGAUCCUCUGGGAGCUGGCGGUGCAGCUGGUCCUAUCAGUGUAUGCUGCUGGUGCAUUCCUCAUGGUCCAGGAUUCAGGUGACCUGGCAUAGGUAGAGGCCUGCCAGGCAUUGUAGCCGGCAGCCUCCUCUGUCGGGGUCAGCUGAGUCGAGAGCUAUGGACUGAUGGUGGGUGAUGGAUGGCAGGUGGGCUUACUUCAACCCAUGCUCUAUAGAUCCACUGGAGCAUGGUCUCACUGCUCUACCUGGGAGUAUACCUGUCCCCCAGGAACCCCUCCCCCCACAGAGAACUGGCACCAGCUGUAGGCAAGGGUAGUGAAUCAUAGAAGUAGGGUCAGAAGGGACCUUUGUAGAUCUUCAAGUCCGACCACCUGCCUGGGCAGGAGGAAAACUGGGCUCAAAUGACCCCAGCCAGGUAGGCAUCAAGCUGCUUCUUAAAGACCCCCAGGGUAGGAGCCAGCACCACUUCCCUUGGAAGUUGGUUCCAGGUCCUAGCCACCCUAACUGUGAAGUAGUUCUUACGGAUGUCCAAUCUAAACCUACUCUCCAACUUGUGGCUGUUAUUCCUUGUUAUCCUGGGGGGCACUAGAGGAAACAAGGUUUUCCCCAAACCCUUCUGGUCCCCCCCCCCCCUAGUGAGUUUAUAGAUGGUCACAAUGUUCCCCCUCAGCCUCAGCAGCUCAGUGAAGCAGCUGCAGGCAUGGGCAGGACUCCUGAGGUGUUUCUCCCUGCAUGGGAGAGUGUUGGUAUUCAGCCAGCUGGUUGAAUCCAUGCUCUGACACUGCUUACACACCCUGCCUGUGCCCCACAAGAGCCUGGCUGGGCUCCAGAAAUGGGCACUGGAAUUUUUCUGGCCAGGACAGCACUGGGUCGCUACAUGCUUGUGUGCCGCACAAUCCAUCGUGCCACCUUCAUGUCCCACCCAGGCACCAAGUGGCAGGAGCUCCUCAGUGACGGCAUGGUGGGGGCACCCCAGUGGGUGAGCCUGUACUCCACCUUCAUCACUGGGGUGCCCCUGCCAUGACCCCAUCCAUGGUCCCAACAAGUCCUGGGACCUCCUGGUCAACCUCCUCCUGACCCUGGCCAAGUCAGCCCUGUACAUGACCAGGAAGGAGGCUCUGGCUGGAAAGGUGCCUGGAGACUGUGAGGCCACUUUCGUGUUACUCAUCCAUGCAUGUUUCCAGGCAGAGGACCAUUGGGCGGAGUCCACCAAUGCCUUAGAUGUCUUUGAGGACCAGUGGGUAUACCCCGGGGGACUCUGCUCAGUGUCCCUCUCUGGAACCCUUAUUUUUAAAUUUUGACCCCCACAUCACUCCUAUCUUGUGUGUGUGUUGUUUUUUUUUUUU